rnacentral:piRNA from 1 species
UACGAGGUCAUUUCCAAC